rnacentral:rRNA from 1 species
AGAGCGAACGCUGGCGGCAGGCUUAACACAUGCAAGUCGAGCGGGCGUAGCAAUACGUCAGCGGCAGACGGGUGAGUAACGCGUGGGAACGUACCUUUUGGUUCGGAACAACACAGGGAAACUUGUGCUAAUACCGGAUAAGCCCUUACGGGGAAAGAUUUAUCGCCGAAAGAUCGGCCCGCGUCUGAUUAGCUAGUUGGUGAGGUAACGGCUCACCAAGGCGACGAUCAGUAGCUGGUCUGAGAGGAUGAUCAGCCACAUUGGGACUGAGACACGGCCCAAACUCCUACGGGAGGCAGCAGUGGGGAAUAUUGGACAAUGGGCGCAAGCCUGAUCCAGCCAUGCCGCGUGAGUGAUGAAGGCCCUAGGGUUGUAAAGUCUCUUUUGUGCGGGAAGAUAAUGACGGUACCGCAAGAAUAAGCCCCGGCUAACUUCGCGCCAGCAGCCGC